CAAAACACCAUUCAACUGACAGCCUUUCUUUGUGUUUUGAUUGUUAGCUUGUUGCUAAGCUAGCAGUCAUUUCAAAAACGUAGCUGUCAGUUGAAUGGUGUUUUGCGUUAACGUUAGCAUCCAAACAACCAUAGCUAGCUACAACGUUUUUGAAAUGAUUCCCAUCUUCUGUUACUGUUCUCAUGGAUUUGAAAGAUUUCAGUAUGACAGUUACGUCGUAAAUUGUUUAAAUCUGAGCAUGCGACUCACAUCGGGCAGCAACGAUCUUCACAACACGCCAAUAACGCCAACACGCGUGUCCUACAUACGCUGUGGACACAAAAACAGGAAAAUACGGUUACAAAAUACCAAAGUUUCCCUUUUAAAGGACCACGACAUAAAGCUCAGGACGCAUGUUUUAACCCUCGUGUUGUCGUCCCGUCAACCAGGAAAAAAAUAACCCAGUUUUGUCACUUUUUUCCAACAUUAUUAUCGCGUUUUCUGACAUUUUUGUCACGUUUUUCAACGUAGUGGGUGCUUUUUUGACAUUUUUAAUGUUGACGUUUUUUUAUUGUGACACAAUUUAUUUUUGUUUUUUUUACUGAAAACGAGUCGAAUUUCCCCCGAGGACAAGGCGAGGGUUAACAGGUGGUUAGGCCUAAUUCUCUCGUGGUAACUCGGCGCCAAACCCGUCGUAUUUAACCGUCGGUUCAACUCCGGGAUCUGGUUUCUGUUUGUGGAGCUUUUUUUUUUUUUUUUUUUUUUUUUUUUACGAUGUUUUGUACUGUACCUGUCGAUAAGAGAAGAAUAAUCACUAUAGCGGAUUUAUUUUUGUAUGAAUUAGGAAAUAGGAUUACGGUCCGAUCACUGUAGUAUCUUCCUGGGUCGCACCCGGUGCACGCGGCCGGCGGCUCGAUGCCGGGAGACCUUUCUUCACGACUUUGGGACGUUUCGUCCAUUCUGGCGGGUAUUUCUUUAAAAAGCUGGAGACUUUUCUGGGACAUCGGAGGAAGGACGGAGACGUUUAUCCCGUGGGACGUCCAGAGAAAAGUGCUUUCAGGUGUCAGUACCUCUAAGUCACAUGGUUUAUUUUUUACAUUUGGCUGUAACUGAUGUAUAUGUACAACUUCUUUGGGAUUUUUCAGUUAAUUUGGAUCUUAACGACCUGUUUUUGUGCCAUGUGUUGUUGUUUUUUGUUUUGUUUUUGAGUCAUUUUGCUCGCUGUGAAAGAAUAAAGGCCCGUGUGGGUCUAUGUGGGAAAGAGAUUUUAAUCAAAAUGUAAUUAUAAAACUGUUAAAAUCAAGUUCACUUAACCCUCGUGUUUUGAGUCAGUGGAGUUACUGAUUUUGAACUGAUGUAUUAUUGUAUUCUCCCGCCUGGGAUGCAGGAAAAUACAGAUUUAUUUCACAAAAGGAGGAUUUGU